rnacentral:lncRNA from 1 species
CCUGAGGCCUGAAACUCAUCCACCAGCUGCUUGGUGUGGGCCCACUCCUCCUCACUCACGAUGGGCUGCAGCGCCUUCAGGUAGUGGUCCAGGGACUGCUGGAGAGGGGGCACGGGCAGCCGUGGCAGUGCAUCCUGGUGUGCCUUGAAGCGGCUGGAAGCCUUCAUCAAGGAGAAGGGCUUCAGGAAGCCCAGAGGCUUCACUGUCAGAAUCUGCGAAGAUCGUUUUGAUGAGGGAAAACUUGGCUGGAGGACAGAGACUGCCUGGCCGCUGAGGUUACACCACAGCCCUGGGAUCGGUC